CAAAGAAGGAAAUUUGAAUUUGAUUGCAGAGUUCCAUCCUUGGAGUUCCAUCCAGCCGGGUUGGCCGGAAGAUUUGUCCUCAGUACAGAUACUUUUAUGCUCAUGGGGCCAGAAAGCUGAAAUUCAUGGGAGCUGCCACAUGGAUAUCACUGUGAGCUGUGUGGGGACACAAAGCACACACCAACUGUGCUGACCAGGGACUUUGAAGCACUUCUAGCUGCUUUAUCUGACAGCAAGGUUCUUUCAUGUUUAGCUUCCCCACGUGAAGUUACAGGAGCAAAGGAAGAUCCAACAUGAAUUCCCCAGCCAGGAUUUCACUUGGGUUGUUGGCAUCAGUAUUUGUACAAACCACCAUGCAUCCUCCCUGGAAACAGAGAACAAAUCCCUCCAGAGCUGUCAGAGCAGCUUGGUGGCUGCAUGCACCAUGGAUGGCACCAAGCAUGGAAGAACCCUCCCUCUUCUUGGUCAACCCUUCUUCUGGGUGCUUUAAUUCUGUGCAAGGACCCCUUUUCUCCACUGAAAUGCCUCUAUGUUGCCACCAG
ensembl:lncRNA